rnacentral:tRNA from 2 species
GCCGAUAUAGCUCAGUUGGUAGAGCAGCGCAUUCGUAAUGCGAAGAUCGUAGGUUCGAAUCCUGUUAUCGGCACCA